rnacentral:rRNA from 1 species
GAUGAACGCUAGCUACAGGCUUAACACAUGCAAGUCGAGGGGUAACGAGAGGGAAGCUUGCUUUCCUUGUCGACGACCGGCGCACGGGUGAGUAACGCGUAUCCAACCUGCCCCCAACUAGGGAAUAACCUUGCGAAAGUAAGACUAAUACCCUAUAAUUUCCUCAGAUGUCAACUGACGAGGAAUAAAGAUUUAUCGGUUGUGGAUGGGGAUGCGUCUGAUUAGCUUGUUGGCGGGGUAACGGCCCACCAAGGCAACGAUCAGUAGGGGUUCUGGGAGGAAGGUCCCCCACAUUGGAACUGAGACACGGUACAAACUCCUACGGGAGGCAGCAGUGAUGAAUAUUGGUCAAUGGGCGGAAGCCUGAACCAGCCAAGUAGCGUGCAGGAUGACGGCCCUAUGGGUUGUAAACUGCUUUUAUACAGGAAUAAAGUUAGCCACGUGUGGUUAUUUGUAGGUACUGUAAGAAUAAGGACCGGCUAAUUCCGUGCCAGCCGCCGCCGUAA